rnacentral:misc_RNA from 1 species
CCAUGACCUUUAUAACACUUUAAGGACAAGAUUACUUUUCUAAAAUUAGGGUAUUUCAAGAAUUGGAAACUUGUUUUACAUGUACAGAUCUGAGGUGGCUAUAAGUACGCAUGAGGGGAACUAAAUCCAGAAUUCUGUCACAAAAAUGAUUUUUAAUCUAUGAUUUGAUUACAUACUAAAAAUACCAAAACAAUGCAUAGGCCACUGAGCGCCUUCACAUGGUACUUUCAGCAAGUCUAUGAUUGUUUUACAUCAUGUUAUCAUCCAACCAUGCUUACGCGUUAGAAUAUGCACAUGCAAGCAUCCUUCACUCAGAUGCCAUCUCACAGCACAUAUGCUAGGGAGCAACCUUUCUCCUCCUAUUCUCAACACCAGGAAGUCAUCUGUAGCUCCCUUGAUUAGUUGAUUGCAAGCUGUGUAUGGCACAACUUCCACCAACUUAAUUGAAGAUUCAAGGGAAAAGAUUCCCACAAGUCUACUUUAAACUUGCACGUAUCUUAGGAUCCUACAGAAUAAUAUCAAAAUCAGAUAUUUAUUUAUUUAUUUAAGGCAUGCAUCACCAGAGCAAUUCUCGUUCCUCUUCUCUACUACUGGUUCGCUACAAUGUGGUCAACUUGCAGCUCACUUGAAACAAAUCACAAUAUUGAAACUCAAUCACUGCUUUCAAAUAUUUAAUUUUAUAAAAUAAAUGGAGCAAAUUACUUGUAUUCAGAAAUCAGAACCAUAAGGGGAUCAUAUACCUAAUAAGGUAAUAUAUAAUUAAAAAAGAAACAAUGAAAACACCAGCAAGUACGCAUAUUCUCCUACCUGAUUUCUUCUCAAAUACCUACAUGACAAAAAAUAGAUAUUACUCAGCCUUGUCCAAGCAGCUAGGAAAUAAAUCAAGAUAAACAUAAUGGUAAAACAAAAAGGAGUGAAUCUAGUUUAUAUACCAUUUUGAAUCGAUCCAUGGUUCCAGAUAAUAUUCCCCUUGAUAUGUCCAUUUUGUUGCCCUGAUCUUACAAUACUGUCUAAUCAAAACAAAGAACCAAAAGAUUGUUUUCUAGACUGUUAGAUAAAGAAAAUACAUGCAGCAUACCAUUCGAUCAAGCAAACGAUUAUGACUCUCCACUUCCUCGUGUAUGUCCCCUGUUAAUCUCUUCAAGAAAAUAACUCUGUCUUGCAAACUGUUAAUAGCUUUGUCAUUGUCGUGCUCAUUAAUAUUAUGGGGAUAUGAAGAAGAGGCCCUAAGGCCGCCUUCUUCAAGGGCAUCAUCAAAUACAGCUGACCUUGAAUUGCGGUUAUCCCUUCUGUAACUCAUUGUUUGCGAGAAUCACCAAAGUUGGUUCCUGGUUCUGCAAGAGAAGUUUUGAUGUGGCUGUUUGUUUAGCGAGAAAGCGUAGGAAAAGCGAGUGCGACAGCGGUUUUCUGAAUGGGACCUGGGAGACAUAGCGCUGGGCUUAGGAAGAUGUAGUGGGCCAUUCUUAAGUCAAAGCCGAGUAAGGCCCAAUACAUUUCUACAGGAGCUUAUAAAGAGUUUGAAAAUUAAUUAAAAAAUAAAAUCAAUUCGGAAGAUUAUAAAACAUUUCUGGUGCAUA